rnacentral:misc_RNA from 1 species
AACGCACCUUGCACUCACUGGUAUUCCGGUGAGUACGCCUGUUUCAGUAUCAUUGAAACACCACAGUCAAAAAUUUUUAUUUAUUUAUUUAUUUUUGGUUGGCUUUGGGCUAUAUUUGAGCUUUUUGGUGCUCAAGUGGCCUUGAAUCCAUUGUCUGGCUAAUUGUAUCGUCUUUGACCGCUAUUAGACUUGGGCUUCAUAAAUUGAACUGGAGGUUGAUUUACCAGUUUUUAGCUCUUGUUAAAUGGUUAUUGUAAAUCGAUCUUGGCGAGGGUUAUUAUGUGAUUCCAUUUUAACCAUCAACAUAAUCACUUUAGUAUCGAUCUGAAAUCAGGUGGGACUACCCGCUGAACUUAA